UACGGGGGGGGCAAGCGUUGUUCAGAAUUACUGGGCGUAAAGGGCUCGUAGGCGGCCAACUAAGUCAGACGUGAAAUCCCUCGGCUUAACCGGGGAACUGCGUCUGAUACUGGAUGGCUUGAGAUUGGGAGAGGGAUGCGGAAUUCCAGGUGUAGCGGUGAAAUGCGUAGAUAUCUGGAGGAACACCGGUGGCGAAGGCGGCAUCCUGGACCAACACUGACGCUGAGGAGCGAAAGCCAGGGGAGCAAACGGG
rnacentral:rRNA from 1 species